rnacentral:tRNA from 1 species
GGUGAGGUAGCAAAGAUGGUCAUUGUACCGGACUGAAAAUCCGACCAUGGCGGUUCGAGUCCGCCCCUCGCCA